UCCUACGGGAGGCAGCAGCUAAGAAUCUUCCGCAAUGGGGGCAACCCUGACGGAGCGACGCCGCGUGAAUGAAGAAGGCCGGAAGGUUGUAAAGUUCUUUUCUUAGUGAAGAAUAAAGAAGCGAGGAAAUGCGUUUAAGAUGACGUUAGCUAAGGAAUAAGCCCCGGCUAAUUACGUGCCAGCAGCCGCGGUAACACGUAAGGGGCGAGCGUUGUUCGGAAUUAUUGGGCGUAAAGGGCGCGUAGGCGGCUUGGCAAGCCUGGUGUUAAAAACAACGGCUUAACCGUUGGUAAGCGCUGGGAACUGCCUGGCUAGAGGUCUGGAGGGGGAGCUGGAAUCCCUGGUGUAGGGGUGAAAUCUGUAGAUAUCAGGAAGAACACCGGUGGCGAAGGCGAGCUCCUGGCCGGACUCUGACGCUGAGGCGCGAAAGCGUGGGGAGCGAACAGGAUUAGAUACCCUGGUAGUCCACGCUGUAAACGAUGUGCACUAGGUGUCUGUCUGUAGAGGAUGGGUGCCGAAGCAAACGCGAUAAGUGCACCGCCUGGGGAGUAUGCUCGCAAGGGUGAAACUCAAAGGAAUUGACGGGAGCCCGCACAAGCGGUGGAGCAUGUGGUUUAAUUCGAUGAUACGCGAGGAACCUUACCAGGGCUUGACAUAUACAGUGAGGCGUGUGAGAGCAGCUGCCACUUUUGUGGACUGUAUACAGGUGCUGCAUGGUUGUCGUCAGCUCGUGCUGUGAAGUGUUGGGUUAAGUCCCGCAACGAGCGCAACCCCUGCUGUCUGUUGCUACCAGGUAAGCUGAGACUCAGCGUACUGCCGGUGACAAACCGGGAGGAAGGGUGGGGAACGAACGUUCAAUUCAUUCAUGUGCCCC
rnacentral:rRNA from 1 species